UACAGAGGGUGCAAGCGUUAUUCGGAAUUAUUGGGCAUAAAGCGCAUGUAGGUGGUUUAGUAAGUCUGAUGUGAAAGCCCCGGACUCAAUCCGGGAAGUGCAUUGGAUACUACUAGACUAGAGUAUGGGAGAGGUGAGCGGAAUUCCAGGUGUAGAGGUGAAAUUCGUAGAUAUCUGGAGGAACAACAGAGGCGAAGGCGGCUCACUGGACCAUUACUGACACUGAGAUGCGAAAGCGUGGGGAGCAAACAGG
rnacentral:rRNA from 1 species